AUUGAACGCUGGCGGCAUGCUUUACACAUGCAAGUCGAACGGUAACAGGCCGCAAGGUGCUGACGAGUGGCGAACGGGUGCGUAAUGCAUCGGAACGUGCCCAGUCGUGGGGGAUAACUACUCGAAAGAGUAGCUAAUACCGCAUACGAUCUAUGGAUGAAAGCGGGGGACCGUAAGGCCUCGCGCGAUUGGAGCGGCCGAUGUCAGAUUAGGUAGUUGGUGGGGUAAAGGCUCACCAAGCCAACGAUCUGUAGCUGGUCUGAGAGGACGACCAGCCACAAGGGAACUGAGAAACGGCCCAGAACCCUAGGGGGGGCAGGAGGGGGGAAUUUGGGGAAGGGGGGGAAAGCAUGAACCAGAAAGGGCGGGGGAAGGAAGAAGGCCUUCGGGUUGUAAACUGUUUUUGAAGGGAAAGAAACGGUUGGGGUUAAAACCCGGGGGUAAGGAGGGUACCGAAAAAAAAAGCACGGGAUAAACACGG
rnacentral:rRNA from 1 species